UACGGGGGGGGCAAGCGUUGUUCGGAAUUACUGGGCGUAAAGGGCUCGUAGGUGGCCAACUAAGUCGGACGUGAAAUCCCUCGGCUUAACCGGGAACUGCGUCCGAUACUGGUUGGCUUGAGUUUGGGAGAGGGAUGCGGAAUUCCAGGUGUAGCGGUGAAAUGCGUAGAUAUCGGAAGAACACCUGUGGCGAAGGCGGCUCUCUGGGACGGUACUGACGCUGAGACGCGAAAGCGUGGGGAGCAACAGGG
rnacentral:rRNA from 1 species